AUUGAACGCUGGAGGCAGGCUAAACACAUGCAAGUCGAGCGGAGAGAGGUAGCUUGCUACUGAUCUUAGCGGCGGACGGGUGAGUAAUGCUUAGGAAUCUGCCUAUUAGUGGGGGACAACAUUUCGAAAGGAAUGCUAAUACCGCAUACGUCCUACGGGAGAAAGCAGGGGAUCUUCGGACCUUGCGCUAAUAGAUGAGCCUAAGUCGGAUUAGCUAGUUGGUGGGGUAAAGGCCUACCAAGGCGACGAUCUGUAGCGGGUCGGAGAGGAUGAUCCGCCACACGGCGACUGAGACACGGCCCAGACUCCUACGGGAGGCAGCAGUGGGGAAUAUUGGACAAUGGGCGGAAGCCUGAUCCAGCCAUGCCGCGUGUGUGAAGAAGGCCUUAUGGUUGUAAAGCACUUUAAGCGAGGAGGAGGCUAUUUUAGUUAAUACCUAGAGAUAGUGGACGUUACUCGCAGAAUAAGCACCGGCUAACUCUGUGCCAGCCGCCGCAGUAA
rnacentral:rRNA from 1 species